GGGAGGCCGGGAGGGGUCCCUGGGCGGGGAGUUGCUGCGCAUCUGUUGUGUGUGUGCGUCUGUCUGUCUGUUCAGGUCUGUUUCAGGCUGUGUCUGUCUGUCUGUCCGGGUCUGUUUCAGGCUGUGUCUGUCUGUCUGUCCGGGUCUGUUUCAGGCUGUGUCUGUCUGUCUGUCCGGGUCUGUUUCAGGCUGUGUCUGUCUGUCUGUCUGGGUCUGUUUCAGGCUGUGUCUGUCUGUCUGUUUGUCUGGGUCUGUUUCAGGCUGUGUCUGUCUGUCCGGGUCUGUUUCAGGCUGUAUGUGUGUCUGCUCUUUGCUUCUGCUCCUGGCUCUGUGUGUAUUU
rnacentral:lncRNA from 1 species